rnacentral:tRNA from 1 species
GUUGAUGUAGCUUAAACUACCGCAAAGCAAGGCAUUGAAAAUGCCUGGAUGAGCCCGCAAAGCUCCAUAAACA